rnacentral:rRNA from 1 species
GACGAACCCUGGCGGCGUGCUUAACCCAUGCAAGUCGAACGCUGAAGCUCAGCUUUUGUUGGGUGGCUGAGUGGCGAACGGGUGAGUAACACGUGAGUAACGUGCCCCCUGCUUUGGGAUAACGCCCGGAAACGGGUGCUCAUACUGGAUCUUAACUUGUCUUCGCAUUGGGGUUGGUGGAAGGAGUUUUUCAGGCGGGAGAUGGGCUCGCGGCCUAUCGGCUUGUUGGGGGUGUGAUGGCCUACCACAGCGUUCACGGGUUGCCGGCCAGAGAGGGUGCCCGGUCACAUUGGGACUGAGAUACGGCACAGACUCGUACGGGAGGCAGCAGUGGGGAAUAUUGCGCAAUGGGGGCAAGCCUGAUGCAGCGACGCCGCGUGAGGGAUGGAGGCCUUCGGGUUGUGAACCUCUUUCGCUCAUGGUCAAGCCGCAACAAUGGUUGUGGUGAGGGUAGUGGGUAAAGAAGCGCCGGCUAACUACGUG